rnacentral:rRNA from 1 species
AGAGUUUGAUCCUGGCUCAGGAUGAACGCUAGCUACAGGCUUAACACAUGCAAGUCGAGGGGCAGCAUGUCGGUUGCUUGCAACCGAUGAUGGCGACCGGCGCACGGGUGAGUAACGCGUAUCCAACCUACCCUUGUCCAUCGGAUAACCCGUCGAAAGGCGGCCUAACACGAUAUGCGGUUCACAGCAGGCAUCUAACGUGAACGAAAUGUGAAGGAGAAGGAUGGGGAUGCGUCUGAUUAGCUUGUUGGCGGGGUAACGGCCCACCAAGGCAACGAUCAGUAGGGGUUCUGAGAGGAAGGUCCCCCACAUUGGAACUGAGACACGGUCCAAACUCCUACGGGAGGCAGCAGUGAGGAAUAUUGGUCAAUGGACGAGAGUCUGAACCAGCCAAGUAGCGUGCAGGAUGACGGCCCUAUGGGUUGUAAACUGCUUUUAUAGGGGGAUAAAGUGUGCCACGUGUGGCAUAUUGCAGGUACCCUAUGAAUAAGGACCGGCUAAUUCCGUGCCAGCAGCCGCGGUAAUACGGAAGGUCCAGGCGUUAUCCGGAUUUAUUGGGUUUAAAGGGAGCGUAGGCCGUUUGGUAAGCGUGUUGUGAAAUGUCGGGGCUCAACCUGGGCAUUGCAGCGCGAACUGCCAGACUUGAGUGCGCAGGAAGUAGGCGGAAUUCGUCGUGUAGCGGUGAAAUGCUUAGAUAUGACGAAGAACUCCGAUUGCGAAGGCAGCCUGCUGUAGCGCAACUGACGCUGAAGCUCGAAAGCGUGGGUAUCGAACAGGAUUAGAUACCCUGGUAGUCCACGCGGUAAACGAUGGAUGCUCGCUGUUUGCGUCUGACGUAAGCGGCCAAGCGAAAGCGUUAAGCAUCCCACCUGGGGAGUACGCCGGCAACGGUGAAACUCAAAGGAAUUGACGGGGGCCCGCACAAGCGGAGGAACAUGU